CUUUCUUUCUUUCUUUCUUUUUUUUCUUUCUUUCUUUUUUUCUUUUUUUUUUUUUUUUAAUUACGUAUAUGUUCAUUAUAUCUGUGUGUCUUUCUUACUCUCUCUUUCUCUCUUUCUCUCUCUUUUUCUCUUUCUAUCUCUGUCUGUGGCUUGAUUAAAAGCAUUUUUGUUUAAAAUCAUCGAGAUAUCAUUCUCUCACCCUCUUUAGUUCGACGACCCUCUGCGGAUUGGAAUUCGAUGCCGCGACGUCGAGAACUUGUCGAGAGUUAAAGAAAGAACUAUAAGAGAGAAAGAGAAAGAGAGAGAGAGAGAGAGAUUUCAAAUUAGAACUCACACCUAGCUCUUUUCUGUUACUCGUUUCAAAUGAUCGAAAGCGUUGUUACUAAUCGAUUCGACGUGUAAAAUUUGGUUGAAAGAAGAAAAAGAAAGAAGAAAGAAAAGAAAAGAUUAGAGUUAGAACGUUAUCAAGAGAGAUAGAAAGUGCAUAGCGUGAAAACAAGUGCAUUGCAGCUGCAGUGAGCACGAGAAUCCUGUCGGUCGAAUCUUUGCAUCGCAUCUAAUAUUACAGGACGAACCGAAAUAAACUCUACUCAAGUACUUAUCACUGUAUGUUAUGUGUAUACGCAUUAUACAGUAAUGUAUGUAUGUAUGCAUAUGUACGUCGGUGCAUGACUGUAUGGAGAAGCACAUACGUGCAUAUAUACGUACAUAAAUACA